rnacentral:snRNA from 1 species
AAACUUACUUGGCUGGGGGAUCCCGCGAUCAGGAAGGCGGGACCCCAUGGCGAGGCCCGUGCACUGCACCCCCGCAUGGGCUGACCCGUGUGGCCGCUUCGGGUUGAAGCAAGCCAACAGCUAAAUUUUUGCGUGUGGGGCAGCGUACGCGCGGCCCUGG